GUAGGUGGCAAGCGUUGUCCGGAAUUAUUGGGCGUAAAGCGCGCGCAGGCGGUUCUUUAAGUCUGAUGUGAAAGCCCACGGCUCAACCGUGGAGGGUCAUUGGAAACUGGAGAACUUGAGUACAGAAGAGGAAAGCGGAGUUCCACGUGUAGCGGUGAAAUGCGUAGAGAUGUGGAGGAACACCAGUGGCGAAGGCGGCUUUCUGGUCUGUAACUGACGCUGAGGCGCGAAAGCGUGGGGAGCAAACAGGAUUAGAUACCCUGGUAGUCCACGCCGUAAACGGUGAGUGCUAAGUGUUAGGGGGGUUUCCGCCCCCUUAGUGCUGCAGCUAACGCAUUAAGCACUCCGCCUGGGGAUACGGCCGCAAGGCUG
rnacentral:rRNA from 1 species